rnacentral:rRNA from 1 species
AUUGAACGCUGGCGGCAGGCCUAACACAUGCAAGUCGAGCGGAUGAAGCGGGCUUGCUCCUGGAUUCAGCGGCGGACGGGUGAGUAAUGCCUAGGAAUCUGCCUGGUAGUGGGGGAUAACGUCCGGAAACGGGCGCUAAUACCGCAUACGUCCUGAGGGAGAAAGUGGGGGAUCUUCGGACCUCACGCUAUCAGAUGAGCCUAGGUCGGAUUACCUAGCUGGUGGGGUAAAGGCCUACCAAGGCGACGAUCCGUACCUGGUCUGAGAGGGUGAUUAGUCACACUGGAACUGAGACACGGUCCCGACUCCUACGGGAGGAAGCAGUGGGGAAUAUUGGACAAUGGGCGAAAGCCUGAUCCAGCCAUGCCGCGUGUGUGAAGAAGGUCUUCGGAUUGUAAAGCACUUUAAGUUGGGAGGAAGGGCAGUAAGUUAAUACCUUGCUGUUUUGACGUUACCAACAGAAUAAGCACCGGCUAACUUCGUG